CUAUCCAGCCUUUCAUUCCUCACAAUUGUAGGCAUGCAUCAACUCAAGUACUCUGGAAGAAUUUUUCUAUUUAUCUGAACUAAUUCAGUUGAAGUGUCUCCUGCAAUAAACCAUUCCUCUUGGGUACUUGCGGGCAUGUACCUUUGCUAUUCCUUCUUCCAUCCCUUAUUUUCUCUUCUGGCACCCUCAAACUCUCAAAAAGGGCCAUUCCAGGCAUUAUAUUUAUGACCAAUUACAAAAGCUUGGGUUCCCUGUCCUUGCUAACCCUAACCUAGUUUUAUGUUCUUCUCAAGUCUCAACCUUACAUCUACAACCUGUACUCAUUGAAAUCUAGUUUCACUGGUGUUAGUUUUUCCCUUAUUGGUCUUAGGAAUUCUGACUGCACUGCAAUUUCUAGGUUUUCAGAUAAUAAUAUAAUUCCACAUGAAUUUUGAUUUUGUCAGCCCACUUGGUUAGUUUCAUAGUUUACCAUUGGUAUGUUAAGUUUAGCUUGUGAUCUAUGCUUUGUCAAAUGAAACUCUCCUAUGCGAUUAUUACUUUUUCUUUACAGUUCAUUGAAGGUGGGAUUGAGAAGGAUAGAAACUCUGAUUCUGAAGGAACUGAAGAUGAGGAAAAUGAAUCCGAGUCAAAUGAAACAAUCAACAGGACUUUAGAUACUUUGCACUUGCUAGAGAAGGUACAUACUUUGUAAGCUUUUACCAUCAUUAGGUUGUGCAAUUUACAGAUUUGCUAAUAACAAGAUAAUUCUGCUCUUUGGGUUUCUACUCUCCACUGAGUGGAAACCCUUGUUCAAGUAACUUUUCUUUUGCUUCUUAAAUUAAAAUACAUGGUUUUUUACACCGUUUACAACCUUAUAUUUAAUUUUACUACUGAUGAGUUACCUUUUUUCCUAAAGUUAAAGAAUUGGAACAAUAUUUAAUUUUACUACUGAUGAAUUACCCCUUUUUUUUUUAAGUUAAAGAAUAUGGAACAUGUUACAAUCUAAUUGAGUCAACGGUUAAGAUAGAUUUUCAUAAUGAAAACAGUGGCCUUCUUCUUGAUGUGAAGAUAUUUAAAUGCCGUAUAUAAAUACAUGAAAUGACCAAUGUGGAGGAGUUUAAAAUCAUUUCUGUGUGAAAGGGUGGUCCAGUUCAUAUUGCAGGCUCUUAUUCUCUGGUGAGAACCAACUGAUACAACUUUUGACUGUGCUACAUCCCGUACAUGUCUGGUUUACUUCGUUUUAUGUGCUGAAUGUUCAUUUUCUGGGUUCUUGCUUGAGAAUGUAAGUUUAUAAUAAGAAACGUAAUACAGGAGGAACACUCUUCAAACUCUGUUGAAGAUGGAAAAGUAGAUGAGAAUCAACAGAGCUGUGAAACAAGUCAAAACAUUGGGUCUGAAUCAGAAGAAGCGAGCGACAAGGUGCAAGUUGUUUAUCAUUUGUUUUGCCUAUUGAAUGCCUCUAAUUGAUUUAAAGGAUGAACUGUUUGCAGCAUUCAUUGGUUGCGGAUGAACUGUAAUGGGUCCAAUGAUGUUUAAAUAGCUUUCACUGGAGAGACUUCGAGUAAUAUGCAUAGCUCUCAUAAUACUGGUGGUGUUUUUUUUUCGCUUCCCAGGAAGAAGAAAGUCGGACUCUAGAUACAGGUGACGACGCAGAAUUGGUCAAGCGUCUUAACAAGCAGAGAAGACGUGCCAUAGCAUCAGCUCGAGGGGGUCGAAGGAGUCUUGCCUCCAGAAAUUCUUACAAGGACAAGGGUGGUAAAUCCUCUCAUAAUUCAAAACUUAAGAAACAGUUGAGCAACUGGUAAAUCGUAAAAAAGUUGUACGAUGAAUUCUCAGAUGGAGCUUCUAUUCUAGUCGUUUGUGGUAAUGUUCUACUCUAGGAUGAGGUAUUCUAACUUCAAUGAAAUGGGCAUCAAGGAAAGCUGACAGCACGAUUAGGAUUUUCAGUCCAGUUUUUGUCCCUAGAUGAUGAAAGAGUUGUAUGCUUGUUUUGUUCAUAGCAAUAGAUAGAUUUUGUCCCUAUAAGAUAAAUGAGUUAUAUGCAUGUUUUGUUUGUGGCAAUAGAUUAUGAGAAGUUUGUGAUACAAAAAUAGAAAAUUUCAGAUCAUUCAUUUCAUUUAAUUGCAAGAUCUUUUGCUUUUUGUUCUUGAAGGAGAAAUGCAAGUGAAACCAUCUUUAGUGGUGUAACGGAUUAAUUUCUAAAUUUAUUCUUCUUAUUUAGCUUAGCACAACAAGCUUGAGUUAUCUUGUCAAUGUCAUGACUUCUUUUACCCUUCAUUUUCUUAUAAAGUUGGUGAAUUUUUAUAUUUAAAGUGGUAAUUUUUAUUAGUCAUCCCUUAAUUUUAGUAAUGUUUUCACUUUUGUCUCUUUUCUUCAUUGUGUUGUCAAAAAAUCCCUAGACUUAAAGACACUACAACGAAAUGCUUUGGUCUUUGGCCGAAAAAAAAAAAAAAACGAAAUGCUUUGGUGCCAAAAUUCAAUUAGAUCUUCGAUUAUAUUCAUACGACGCAGUUCUAUCAUGUUAAAAAAAACUUUUUUUUUAAAAAAAAAGUCAUGUGAUGUAAUAUUUGUGUUUGAGAAAAUGUGAUGAGAAAGUGAAUGUUUUAGAUUAUAUAUAUAUUAAUGUCAGGUAAAAAAAAUAUUGCCAUGGAGCUAUUGAAUUUUAGCUUGAAAAUUUUCGUUUAGAAAUUUAUAAAUUUUAUAAUAAAAAAAAAUAAAGAUCAGAAAGAAAAGUGGAAUAAUUUUUUGGAUAUAUGUAUAUAGUACUGGAUUCUUGCUUUCCCUAAAUUCCACUCACUAUUUUCCGAUGUGGGAUGGAAAACGCGAGUCGUUGCAGAAUUCUGUGGUUCAAUAUGAUUUUAUAAACUAAGACAUAAUAUGAUUUAUAAGCUAUAAUAUAAAUUAUCUUUUAGUAUUUCAACUUUAACAUAAUUAAUGAGAUGAUUUUGUAUUUUAAAAAUCUUUUAAAAAUCUCUCAAUAAUCAAUCUAUUUAAAUAAAAGUUUAUUUUAUUUAUAAUUUUGUUAAUGAACUGAUUAAAAAAUAUUCUAAUAAAUACUUACUCGUGAGUGAAAUAUUUUAUAUUGCGUAAAAUAAAAUUUUUAGCAUAAUUAAUAUAUUGAAUAUUGUAUUUUUAAAAUUGAAUUUUGAAAUUUUUUCAUAUUCAGUCUAAUUAAAAUUACAAUAAUUUUAUUGAUUAUAGAUAUUAAUUUAGAAUUAGUUGGGUAGUUAAAUUUUUUGAAGUUUAAUUUUUUUCUUGAAAUAUAUUUUAAAAAAUUUAUAAUUUAUUUAAAAGUUAUUUGGUAUACUUAAAAAUAAUUAAAAUUAUAAAUAUUUUUUGAAAAUUUAAAACUAUAAGUAUUAAAAUAUUUUAACAAAUAAAAAUUAAAAAAUAAAGAGUGUUAAAAUUUAAUUAAAUAUGAUAAUCUAAAUAAAAGUUGUGGUGGGUUAAAACUAAACAGAAAUCAAAAGUCCAAAAACCUUUAAAUAGAAACCCGAAGCCCGCAGACUAAAUCUACGGCUCAAUUUAAAAAGAAACAAUCGAACCGACUCUCUGCACUGCGACUGCCGACUCGCUGGCCUGCCACCGCCUGUAGUUAAAGACAGCAACCCAUCUGGGCCAUCUCCACCCCAAUCCACACCCCUAAAGUCUCACUCCCAUCCAUUUGUCCAUCCAACUUCUUUUCCUUGCAUCUCAAUUCGACUACUCAAAUUUCAAAUUUUCCUGUUUUUCCAUUUCAAAUUUGGUUUUUCUUUUAAAUUCUUUUGUAGUUUAAUUUUAUUAAUUAAAACUAGCAUGAUAAAAUGACUUAUUAGAUUUAAGUUCUCAUACUUUCAAUUCAAUUUAUUUCUAUUUAAUUUGGUUCGGUUAGUUUUAUAAUUUGAUUCAAUUCGAUUUUAAUUUUCUAAAUAAUUUUUAAUUUUCAAUUUUUUUUUUGUUCGAUUUCAUUUUGAAUCCAAUUGAUAGGUACCAGUUGAGAUGUUAUAGGAACCCAAACUAGAUUGCGAACAACCACGUAGCACAUCUUCAAAUUCAUGACAUUGAGUCCACAUUUGUUCAAAUAUGAAUAAUUUAUUACUUGGUGGAGAGGGUCGAAAUGCUGGAGCAAUAAGCAAAGGAUAAUGAUAUGAUAAAAAUCGAUCUAGAGUACAAAUUUGCAUUGUUGGAAAGAAAGAAAAACAAGCAGCAUUAGCCACCCCUCUAUCAAGCCUUUCCUGAAUGUGUGGAGAACCAGAUUGGCAAUUUGACCAAGUAAAAGGAAAUCCAAUCAUAGAAAUAUUAGUCAAACCACAAGCAUCAAGUGUAUCGUGAAGGAGCUGUAUGAAAAAUGAAGGUCGAUGUUACCCCUUGUUUUUAUGUGCAAAUAUAAUCUCAUUAAAUUCACCAAUACAAAGCCAAUGAAUACCCACAAUAGAUUGCAAGGAACAUAAUAAUUCAAAAGUGCAGCAUUUAUCUUCUUCGCGUGAUCACACAUAUAACCCAGUGAAAAUCCAGGGAGUGUUAACAUAUGAUUUAAUAGAUAAUUGAAUAUGAUGUAGAGAAUAGUAUUGUAAACAAAUAUCAAAAUUAGAUAGUCAUAUAAUGUCAAACCACUACUACGGUGAUGUCCUUCCCCUGCGCAAUCAACAUAUAUUCCAGAAUCAAAACCCAGAAGGUGGCAGAGAGGAGCCAUCUCGAAUUGUUUUAAUCGAGUUUCCAUUAGUAAUAAAAAAUCUGAUCGGUGGAAACUCAAGAUCUUUUUUAAGAACCAAAUGUUUCAGGGUUCCCAAGCCCCUGUCAAAUCCAACUAAUAAUUUUUCAUCUCCAUCGGUGGGAUUGGUAGCCAGCCUCCACCGAUAUAGAGUCAUUAGCAACUGGGAAUAUAUGAACAAACUUUAUUUUUUUAAGUUGUGGUAGAUUGUAGAAGAAUACAUAUUAACUCAUAUUUGUUCUGUUGUGCAUUGCUCUGUAAUUAUGCAAUUGUCAUUAGUAGCCUCUAAUUGCUUCUCUUUUUUGUACUGCGCACAUGAGACUUUCUAGUAUAAAUAGCUUAGCUUUUGUACAGAGAUUGUAUUUCUUCAAUAAAUCUCUUUUCUCUCUUUACAUGGUCAGGGUGUGUGUGAAUGAUGUCUCCCUUAAUAUGUUCUGUUGGAUCUUAAAGAUAACAAAGAAAUGGCAGAUCCAAUACCUAUGGUGGAGAAUAAGGCGACCUAUUAGGAAAAGACAAUAAGCAUGCAAGAAUUCGAUGAAUGGCAAUCCACUAUGCUUGCAGUCGUUUGACCAUCCAGGUAUGAUUCUGGUCUCUGUAUCUCUGGUUAGGAGUAGAAACUUCAGAUCUUUGAAUAGAGUUAUGCAAAUAGUUCUAGGAGCCAAGUAGAAGUUAGGUUUAAAUGAAGGCGCUAUUCCAAUGCCAGAUAAAGAUACCGAGUUCCAUGAGCAAUAGAAGAGAUGUGACUAUAUGGUCACAUCUUAGAUCUUGAACUCAAUAUUGAAGAAUCUUGUAGAUGGCUUCAUUUACAUUGCUUCUUCGAGAGAUCUGUGGUGUGAAAUUUCAGAGAGGUUUGGGGAAAGUAAUGGAUCACAAAUCUAUGAGUUACAUAGACAAAUCUCCUUUAUUUCUCAAAAGAAUGCUCCUAUCUCAAUCUAUUUCACUUGUCUAGAAAGAUUGUGGGAUGAGUUAGAGUCAAUAGAAGUGUUACCUCCAUACUUCUGUGGAGCAUCCAAGACCAUUGAUGAUAUGAACAAUAGGAAUAACCUUAUGCAGUUCUUGAUGGGACUGAAUGAGAAUUUUGAUUCUAUGAGAGAUUAAGUUUUAGUUCUUGAUCCUUUGUCUUCAAUAAACAAGGCAUAAUCUAUGGCCUUUAAACAUGAAUCUCAGAAGGAGAUUCUGAGUAAAAGAAAUUCCGAGUCUAUUGAAACCUUGGUACUGUUUAAUUAGAUAUAAGGACAGUCUUUGAAAGGAAAACAAAAGAAGUAUGAUCCAAGAAAGGGACACUGCAAUUACUGUAACAUGGAUGGUCAUAUUAGGGAUAUCUGCUUCAAAUUGAUAGGAUAUCCUGAUUGGUUUAAAAACAAAACCAAGAAUGGAGGACAACCUGCAAGGCAAGACAAAGGUAGGAACAAUAGCCCAAAGGCUUGUGGCUAUUACUGAGGGUCUUGAGUAUGAGGAGGACAAUCCUCUUGAUAUGAUUCAUGGUACUAUUAAAAUUGAUGAAUUUAGUGCAGCUUUGAGUACUCUGCAAUAGAAGUUCUCAAGGCUAGUGAAAGGAAAAGCAGCCCUAACAGCCACUAUUGUGGAUUUGAAUUCAAGUCCAGAUAGAAAUCUUGACUCAGGCUCACACACCUUUGCUGGUAAUUAUAAUUCUGCUAAUCCUUGGUACACUAGAAUGCAUACUAAAAUUACUUGGAUACUGGAUACUGGUGCAACUAAUCAUAUUUCACCAAAUAAAUCUAUGUUUAGUUGUUUAUAUAAAUUUCAAAGGUUUUUCUCUGUUUACCUGCCAAAUGGAAACAAAGCUGGAGUUACACACUCUAGUUCUAUUUCUUUAUUUGAUUCCAUUAUUUUAAGAGAUGUGCUCUAUAUUUCAAGUUUUAAUUACAACUUUUAUCUGUUAGUAAACUCAUUCAGCACAAUAAAGUCAUAUUGCUUUUUCACACUCAUCAUUGCAUUUUACAGGAUUCUCUAACUGAGAGAGUAGUUGCUGUAAAGAAGAUGGUGGUUUAUACAAGAUAAACCAAAAGAGCUUUGUUGUUUCUAAGGUUCAUAAUACUUUGUCUACAAUGUUGCAUAUUGCUCCUUCUUUAUAAUCUUUUGUAAAUAUCAUGGUUUCUGUUUGCCAUAUUAAUAAAGAAAGCUUUAACAGUAUGUUUCAUAAAUUUGCUCGCAUGCCUAGUCUUAUGUAUGUUCAUGAAAGACUUAGACACAUUUCUAUUAAUAAAUUGAAACACAUAAAUGGGGUUGGCUGUGAUGGGAAUAGAAGUAUACAAUGUGAGCUUUUUCAUUUGACUAAGCAGCCUAGGCUCCCUUUUCAUGUGAGUCAUAGUCUAAGUCUAAGACCAUUUGAUUUAAUUCAUGUGAAUAUCUAGGGGCCCUAUAGAGAGAAAUCCUUGACUGAGGCAAGAUACUUUCUCACUAUUAUAGAUGACCAUACUAGGGCAAUUUGGACCUUUAUGAUGUAAUUCAAAAGGCAAAGUACACAUUUUCUGUCCAAGUUCCUAAAAUUAAUAAAGACUCAGUUUAAUGCCUCACAGAUAUGGGCAUGAAUUCUUGAGCAAAGAGUGCCAUAAACUCUUUGAGAGUAAGGGUAUAAUUCACCAAAGGUCUUGUCCUUACAUUUCCCAAUAGAAUGGGGUAGUGGAAAAAAAGCAUAGACAUCUCCUUGAUACUACUAGGGCUUUAAGUCUUUAGGGUAGUAUACCAAAGAAAUUUUAGUCUGAGUGUGUUUUAACUGCCACCUAUCUCAUACAUAGAAUGCCAAUAGCUAGUUGGCAAAGUCCUUAUGAGAGCUUGUUUAAAAGAAUUCCUUAUUAUACUUACCUCAGAAAGUUUAGUUGUUUAUUGUAACGACCCGAAAAUCGGACCGCUACCGGCGCUAGGAUCCGGGUCGACUUAAGGCCGCCGGGACCCGUAGCAAGCCUGACAUGUAACCUGNNNNNNNNNNNNNNNNNNNNNNNNNNNNNNNNNNNNNNNNNNNNNNNNNNNNNNNNNNNNNNNNNNNNNNNNNNNNNNNNNNNNNNNNNNNNNNNNNNNNNNNNNNNNNNNNNNNNNNNNNNNNNNNNNNNNNNNNNNNNNNNNNNNNNNNNNNNNNNNNNNNNNNNNNNNNNNNNNNNNNNNNNNNNNNNNNNNNNNNNNNNNNNNNNNNNNNNNNNNNNNNNNNNNNNNNNNNNNNNNNNNNNNNNNNNNNNNNNNNNNNNNNNNNNNNNNNNNNNNNNNNNNNNNNNNNNNNNNNNNNNNNNNNNNNNNNNNNNNNNNNNNNNNNNNNNNNNNNNNNNNNNNNNNNNNNNNNNNNNNNNNNNNNNNNNNNNNNNNNNNNNNNNNNNNNNNNNNNNNNNNNNNNNNNNNNNNNNNNNNNNNNNNNNNNNNNNNNNNNNNNNNNNNNNNNNNNNNNNNNNNNNNNNNNNNNNNNNNNNNNNNNNNNNNNNNNNNNNNNNNNNNNNNNNNNNNNNNNNNNNNNNNNNNNNNNNNNNNNNNNNNNNNNNNNNNNNNNNNNNNNNNNNNNNNNNNNNNNNNNNNNNNNNNNNNNNNNNNNNNNNNNNNNNNNNNNNNNNNNNNNNNNNNNNNNNNNNNNNNNNNNNNNNNNNNNNNNNNNNNNNNNNNNNNNNNNNNNNNNNNNNNNNNNNNNNNNNNNNNNNNNNNNNNNNNNNNNNNNNNNNNNNNNNNNNNNNNNNNNNNNNNNNNNNNNNNNNNNNNNNNNGAUUUCCAUACUGGUACCAUCCUGGCUAGCAGGGAUGUACUUUUCUGUGAAGAUAUCUUUUCUUAUGCUCAAACUAAAGUUCUAGAUUCCUCUCUUAUCCUUCCUAUUUCUGUUACUGAAUUUGAUACUACUAAUGAGUUCACUAAACUUUCUAUUCCUAUCACAGAACACAACCAAAGCUCCCUAUCCACAUCUCCUUCUCUCUCAACACAAUGUUCUUCUCCUAUAAAGAUUAGAAGAUCCACUAGGAUUGGUCACAAAUUUGCCUGGCUACAGGACUUUGUUAGUUUUGCUUCCACUUCAUCACAACCCCUUUCUAAUAUGUGCUUUGCCCCCCAUCAUCAAUCUUUUGUUCAUAAUGUGGCUAUUGUCCUUGAACCAUCGACCUAUGCAUAGGCAUCUCUUGAUGCUCAGCAGGUUGCAGCUAUGCAACAGGAGUUGCUAGCCCUGGAAAAAAAAUAGUACCUAGGUGCUUAUUGAUUUACCUAAGGGAAAGAGAGCCACUGGGAGUAAAUGGAUUUAUAAAGUGAAAUACAAACCUAUUAGUGAGGUUGAAAGACUUAAGACUCGUUUAGUAGCCUAAGGCUAUAAUCAUAUUGAAGGCCUAGACUACAAAGACAGGUUUUCACAUGUUGCAAAACUUACCACUGUUAGGAUUUUAAUUGUAGCUACUGUCAGACAGUGGCCAAUUUUUCAACUAGACAUCAACAAUGUUUUCCUCUAUGGUUCUUUGAAUGAGGAAGUAUACAUGCUACUACUUCAAGGCUAUCUUAAGGACCUUCCUGGCCAAGUUUGCAUGUUCCAAAAAUCCCUUUAUGGCUUAAAGCAAGCCUCCAGACAGUGGAAUAUUGAAUUCACUAUUUUUUUUAAAUCUUUGGGGUUCUCACAGUCCUCUCAUGAUCACUGUCUGUUUGUUAAGACUUUUGCAGAGUCUUUCAUGGCUCUCUUGAUAUAUUUAGAUGAUAUUAUUAUUACAUGCACUUCUAUUGAUGAUACUAUUGAUGUUAAAACUGCUUUGUAUGAUAAGUUCAUAAUCAAGGACUUAGGGCAUCUUAAAUACUUUCUUGGGCUUGAGGUGGCUAGAUCUGACUAAGCCACUGUUCUUAGUCAAUUAGAAUUUAUAACUAAUUUAUUAAGUGAGCCUGCCCCUUUUCGUCUCCCUAGGUGAUCCACUUCCUGAACCUGAUGCUUAGCGGAGGUUAAUUGGAAGACUCUUAUAUGUUAAUCUUACUAGGUUUGACAUAAGCUAUGCUAUUCAGUACCUUAGUAAGUUUAUAUCUCCUCCUAAAAGACCUCAUUGGGAGGCAGCUAUGCAUGUUUUAAGGUAUUUGAAGGUCACUGUUACUACUUGUCUAUGUUUUUCUGUUCAAUGCAAUUUUCAAGUCACUGCAUAUUGUGAUUCAGAUUGGGCUUCAUGUUGCUUCUCCAGAAAGUCCCUUACAAGAUUUGGGAAAUGUUUUAAGGUAUUUGAAGGCCACUGUUACUACUUGCCUAUGUUUUUCUGUUCAAUGCAAUUUUCAAGUCACUGCCUAUUGUGAUUCAGACUGGGCUUCAUGUUGCUUCUCCAGAAAGUCCCUUACAAGAUUUGGGAUCUUUUUAGGUUUCUCAAUGGUUUUUUAGAAAACCAAAAAGCAAUCUACAGUAUAUAAGUCCUCUACUGAGGCAGAAUAUAGCUAGAGCCAUGGUUGUUGUAGAUCAUGAAUUACUUUGGAUCACCUAUAUUCUACAAGAUUUGCAGAUUCUAAUUGUUUUUCCAAUACAGCUCUACUGUGACAAUAAGACAGCUCUUCAAAUUGCAGCCAAUCUUGUUUUUCAUGAAAGGACUAAGCAUAUAGACAUUGACUGCCACAUUGUUCGAGAGUACCUUCAGAAAGACUUUCUAUCUACCUCUCAUGUCUCUAGUCAAGACCAUGUGGGACCUUUCACUAAACCUUUAUCAGCUAAACAAUACCAGCGUUUCUGUUUCAAGUUGUCUCUGGUCUCCUUCCCAACUCCAACUUGAAGGGGGGUGUAGAAGAAUACUUAUUAAUUCAUAUUUGUUCCUUUGUGUAUUGCUCUGUAAUUAUGCAAUUGUCAUUAAUAGUUUUUAACUGCUUCUGAGCCUAUUGGCUUAGACUUUUAGCUUUUAGGGAUCUUCUUGUAAUAUUUCUUUCCUUCUAUUUGUAGGUGAGACUUGCUGAGUAUAAAUAGCUUGGUUUUUGUACGGAGACUAAUUAUGUAUUUCUUCGAUAGCUUGUCUCUUCCAAGAUUUAGUGCUUCUUUGUACACGGUGACUAAUUUUAGAGGAGCCCAAAGAACAUGGUGUUAGUGCAGAAGGCAAAGAUGGAUCAUCAGAACACUUAGAUGUAUCAGUUUCUAUACUUACUGUCCUGAAAGCAACACAAGUGGAAGACAGAUUAUGCUUAGAAAUAACACCAGCAGAAACAGGCCGGAUGGUAGAAGAGCAUUCCAGUACAGUUGGAUUAUAAUUAUUAGGAGUGAUCACAACAACUGAUUCAGGAGAUACCGGAGAUGCAGUCCGUUUAGUUACUGCGCAUUUGCUUCUCAAAUUAAUAUAUGUACCAGUCUUCAUGAUUGUUGUUGAAUUAGCCAUAGUUGGUUGUGAAGUUAACUGCACAAUGGUAGAAUCUUUGGGUACAGAAUAUAAAGGUCUGACCACAAAGAGGAAGCCCGAAAUCAUUCACCAUAGGGAAGAGUCUCAGAUGUAGUUGUGUCGGACUGGUCCGCAAACUCAUCACACUCCUGAAAAUUAUGAUCAAUACGACCACAAAGAGAGCGCAGAGUUUAAUGCAUAGUAAAGUGAAAAAAAAAAAUUUCUAUUUUGGAACACCAGAAAAAGAAGAUAAGAAUAUUAUUUUAACUAUAUUAACUAUAUUUUCACAUAUUUGGUUUAUUUUUAUAUGAUUGAGUGGAUAACUCAUUAAGUUAGUUGCAUUUUUGUAAUUUGUUAAAGUCCAAAGGUGGUGAGGUUAUGGAGAAAAUUUUGUGUAUCCUGUUGGAGCAUUUGGAAUAGAACAAAUAAUUUGAUUUAGAAUGGUAAGUCUUCUUCUGCCCAAGAUACUGUUGCUUUUGGUAUUAAGCUUUUGAAGAAUUGGCAAUAUUGCUCAACUUUGGGUUGGUUCAGCUGAAGGUAGAUUUAAAUGCUCAACUUUGGGUUGGUUCAGCUGUGGGUAGAUUUAAAUGUAAUAUUGAUGGUGUGAUUCAUGGUCAAGAGAGAUGUUUAUAUGCAACCAUAAUCAGAGAUGAUUUUGAAAGACAUAUAAUGGUAUAAAUUUCCCUAACUCUGUUUGUUCUGUUCUUUAUUCUGAUGUUAACAUUUAAGGUGGCUACAUGUUAUGCUAGUAUCAAAUGGUUUUGAUAUUGGAUCACAUUUAUCCAAUCUAUAACUAAAAGGUAAAAAUUCUUGCAAUGAUUAAUGUUUUCUUUAAGCAAUAAACAAAUUUUAUGCUACAAAUGUAUCAUUUCAUGGCAAGUAUGUCAAAUUUAUUAUUCUAGAUGAACAGUAACAAUCUUAUGAAAAGAUUAUGAUGUGAAAAAAAUAAAAAUAAAAAUUAUGCCUAAUCAAAUAUCCUUUCUCCAGUUGAGAAUAACAAAAACAUGAAAGAACUAAAAAUGCAUAGCAACCCUGGUAUGACAAACACAGCUCUCCAACUUUCUGGACCUGAAAGAUCUGAAUAAGCAGUUUUAGAAGCUUCUAGAAGUCUGCCAGUAAGAUCAACACCAAUAAUGCCAGCCAAAGUACCAGCAGUAUUAGAAACUCCCAUGACUAUUCCUGCAUAUCUUGGAGCAAUAUCCAUGUGAUUCACAGCAAACCCAGCUCUCCCAAGUGCCAAAAACCCAAGAGCCACAGAAGAACAGAUAACUGCCCCAAUAGAAGUUCUGAAAAUAGGAAGUGCCAUUAGUGCAAGAGAAGCAACAAAAAAUCCUAUGGUGUUUAACAACUUUCGGGUUCUGGUCACAGACAGGAUUCGCUUUGUGAUCAAGUGAUCAGCAACUACCCCACCAAUAUUUGAGAAUACAAACAUGUUCAGAUAUGGCAUCAUCUUAGAAGAACCCAUUUCUUGAAGACUGAGCUUGAGACCCUGCUCAAAAUAAGUUGGCAGCCAGUUCAUCAGCACAUACAAUGCAUAAUGGAAUGUGAAAUUAUUUGCUACAAUUGCCCAAAUUGGAAAACUAACUAAAAUUCUCCUCCAUGGAAUUUUUGCCGUUUUAAUAAUACUACCUCCAUUUUCCAUUUUUAUCUUUUGACUGCCUUUGAUUGGCAGCAGAGAAUCUCCAAACCCUGCAGCAGCUGCUUUUGGAUGCUCGGAUCGAGGAGGAUCACUUGCAUAUUUGAACCAUAGCAAAGACCAUAAACCACCUAAGGCUGCUUCGGUAAGAAACACAGAUUCGGGCCCUUUGUAUUUCACUAAACUUGGCAGGAGAAGCAUUCCCAUAGCUGCUCCUAGGUACAUCCCAGAAGUUGUAAGUGAUACAGAUCUGGACCUUUCAUGAGGCGGAACCCAUUGUGCCAAAACAGUAUGAAUCGAAGGGAAGAUGAACCCUUGUGCAACACCAACAAGCAAGCGGGCAACUACCAAGAUUACAACUCGAUUAGGAUCAAGUGGGACCAAAAAGCAAGUUGAUGACCACAAAACAAAUGAGAGGAGGAGAACCUUCCUUCCCCCUAUUCUCUGAGCUGCCCAUCCUCCAGGCACCUGGGAAAAGGCAUAACCAUAAUAGAAUGUUGAAAGUAUAGUGCCUUUACUUGAUUGGUUUACACCAGCAGCAUCAGCUGCAACAGUAUAUGCAAUAGAGAAACCCACUCGUUCAAUGUAGCAAACACAAGUGCUGAUGAAGGUCAAAAUAACAAUCAAGUAACGUUUUGGGAACUUCAGAUUUCUCAUACUUCGCCUUCACUUUUAUAUAGCAGUCUCAUUAACAGUCUUGGAAUGAGCCCACUUUCCUAUAACUCACCUUCUCUCAAUCCUAGUAGUCCAAAAUGUUUAAGAACGUCAGCAGAAAUUUCAAAACUCUCACUAACCUUCAAGAUGGUAUUGAACCUGAAAAGCAAAAUUAAAAAAAGAAAAACAAAAGAAAGAAACUCAUAUACAGCAUAAAAUUGCUAUACCUGAUUGAUUUGCACAUCAUGUUUUUAUCAUUGAAACAAGAAAAUCAUUUAAUUGCACAGCAGAAAAUCGACAUUGCUGUUGAAUUUUAAAUGAGCUAUUAUGAAUCAAUAGAUAAGAGAAAAACUGAAACAUGAAGUAGGUAAAGCUUCAAAUUUAGCUCCAAUUCCAUAAGGGAGAAAAAACUGCACCUGCGAUUAAAAAUAAUUCGAGUUGUUGAAAGGUUCAAUCUAAUCUCUAUCUUAGAGAGGCCGUACUAAAGUGGGUAAAGUCUAAAAAAUCAAAAGCAGAAGCAAAAACCAAAGAAAGCAAUCAAGGGAAAGAGUUGUAAGGAGUUUUUUCAAAAUGAAAAGAUCUGCAUUCUAUUAGAAAUUCAAUUGUAGCUCCCCCUUAGUAUUGAACCAAACAAUCUCAAAAGAGUUGAAGAAGCAGAUAUCAUCACACCAAGAAAACUAGCAGAUCGGACACCAACCACAAUACACAUAUAUAAAGUGCAAUGGGGAUGGAUUAAUUGCUCUUUCUGUGCGUAAAUUUGAAAAGAAACUGAUUCGGAUUGCUAAAUUGGCAUAAACAGAUUCAGUUUUUCACAACAAUAAGAUAACAGAUGAACAGAAAAUUUUACUUUAUUUUACUUUUUAGCAAACAAGAAGAAAGAAAAAUCAGUAGCAGAGGAAGCUCAUAAAUUGAAAGAGGAAAUUAUCAUGCCUUUGAAAGGGGAGACGGAACAAGUCACAAUGGCAGUCUGGUAGAGAAGAGAUUCACCUUCGAUUGAAGUCACUCAACUCCAUUACAGGGAGGAAGCUCCACUUGAACGGCAACAGACCAGGCCGUGGCCUGACGGCAGAUUCAAGAAUCGUCGGGAGUCGUCGCAAGCAGAUCAGCAGCGACCGUGUAAGGAGAGGCGAAAUGAGAUGAUAUAAAAAAGUCAGAAGAGAGAUGGCCUGGUGGAUGAGCGUGGGGCUGCUGCCUACUGCCUAGGACCGGUGGUGCGCACCGUUGGUUUAUUAUUAUUAAAGAAAAUUAUUUUUUAGUCUAUAAAAAUACAGUAUAAUUAAUAAAUUUAUUUUUUUAAUUUUAAAAUUUAAUAUUUUUAUUUUUAAAAUUUAAUUUUAUUAAAAUUUAAAAUUUUUUGAUAAAAAAUUUAUGUUAAAUUAAUAAUUAUCAUUCGGUAAGAAUAAAUAUAAUUUUAAAAACAUUCUUAUCAAUAAUAAAUUAAAUAAAUUAUUAUUUAAUCUCUUAAAUUUAAAAAUAAAAUAAAAUAUCUCUAAUAUUUUAAAAAGUCUAAUAAUUAAUUUCUUUAUUAAUUUUAUCACUAAAUAUUUUAGUAUUUAGUCUUUAUAAUUUAAAAAAAUUUAUUAAUUGAUAUCUCAAAUUAUUAAAAAGUUUACUGAUUAGUUCAUUCGUAUUAAGAAUAUUUUAAAUUUUUUUAUAAUGUUUAACGAUUAAAAUUAAUAAAAAAAUUAACUAGCAGACUUUUUAAAAUAUGAAUUUUUCAAAUGGUGAUAAUGUUAUAAAAUAAAUUUUUAUUGAGUUUAAUUUUUUAUUUUUAAUAAUAUAAAUUUUAUAUAUUUUAAAUUUUAUUAUUUUUAUUGAAUUUAAAUUUUAAAUUUAUUAAAAUUUUUAUUUAUUUAUAGAGAUUGAAUUUUAAAAUUUUUUUCUUUGAAAUUUAACGAAAUUAAACUUAAAAAAUUAAAAUAUUAAAUUUAAAAAAUAAAGGAACAAAUCUAUUAAUUACAUAAUAUGAAAAUAUAUUUUUUCUUCUAUUUUUUAGAGAAAAGACCUAUAAAUUUAUAAAAAUUAAAUUUUAGAGAGUAAAGUGUUAGAUUUUAAAAAAAUAAAUAGAUAAAUAUGUUAAUUAUAUAAUAUUUUAGAGAUAAAAAAAUAUUUUUUUAUUAAACUUUUUGGAGAAGAGAUUUAUAAAUUUAUAGAAAAUUAAAUUUUAGAAAUUAAAGUAUUAAAUUCUAAAAAUAUAACUCGAUCAUUUUUCCUGUCGUUAAGACUUUUAAUUUUGACUAAAUUAAAUUUUAAUGAUGAAAAUAUUAAAUUUUAAAAAUAGAGAAAUAAAUUUAUUAAUUAUCAUAAGAAUAAAAAAGUAAAUUUUCUUUAUUAUUAUUGAGAGAAAAAUUCAAUAAUUGAUAUUAAAUCAAAUUUCUUAGAAGAUUAUAAUUUAAUUUUUAUUUAUAAAUAUUUUUUAAAAAACGUUUAUUGCUUACGAUCCUUAGUUGGAUUGGAGAAGGCAUUUGAGAUCCUGACACUGCCAGGAUUCGAUUACCCAUUAAAACCCUCUUUAAUCUCUUAAAAUAUUUUAAAAAUAUUUUAAUAUAUUUUUUAUUAUUAAUAAAUUAAUUAAUAAAUUUUAUUAAAUUUGAGAGAGUAAAUAAUAUUUUUUUUAAAAAAAAUAUAAAUAUUAAAUUAUAAUUUUAUUUAACUUAUUUCACUAUUGUAAUUUUAUUGUAGUUCUUUCUUAAAAUUAAAUUGGAACUAUUUUGAAACCAUACUAAGCGAAAUAAAAUUGUAUAUAUAUAUAUUUUUCUAUAAUAUUUUAAAUUUAUAUAUUAUUAAAAAAUAUUAUUAAUACUAUUAUUAUAGUUUAUUUAUUUAUUUUUUUAAACAAAACUGCUGAUUAUAUUAAUAAAAUUUUAUCAAACAAAAAUGAUAUCAUCCCAAACAGAAAAAUGAUUAUGUCUGAUAUAUUCUCUAGCCAAAAUAUGAGUAAUUAGAAUAGUAUUACGACGAAUCAUCUAACAGAAAUAUUAGAGUUUAAUAAAAAUUUACAAUCAUUCAAAAUCAAACCCUGCAUAAGAUAAUUUGGCAAAAAUGCUCCUAAAGUAUUUGUCUAAACUCCUGUAUAAGAUAAUUUGACAAAGAUUCUCCUCCUUCUUUCUUAUCUCUCGAGCAUAAAUCAUUAAAGUUUCCCGAAUAAAACCACAGAAGAGAGUUUUUACGAGAUAAAACUCGAAUAAGAUUUUAUGACUGAUGUCGUCAUUGCGAUUCCGGAAACCCAUAAUAACUAGUAAACCUCCAUUGAACAUUAACUUCCAAAACAACCGAAUCAAUAAAAUUUAAAGAAAAGCCAACCACAAAAACAAAUACAUGACUCUUCUACAUUAACGAGUUUAUUGACUCAGAAGCAACCAUCAAAAUGUAAAAAAUUACGAAAAAAUUCCAUACGAGAACUAAGAGUUUUUAUUUUCAUAAAAAUAAAAUGUCUGACUUGUAACUAGUAACCAAAUCCUUCAAUACAUUAACUGUCCGAGGAUUGCCGCCAUAAAUCUGCCAAAGAGGUCUGCAUAUUCUGAAAAUUGAUUAGAUUGUAUGUGAAAAAUAUUCUCACCAUAUAAAAAUCAUAGGAGAUGAUCGGAAUAUCUCUAAAACUCUUAAUAGGGGCACUAACAUAUUCUUUUUCAUCGAUAAUCAAUUGACGAAGAUAAUUUUCUAUGGGAAGGGAAAAGAAGAAGUUAGGUUUAAGGAAAAGACAAAGGCGAGAGUAUCGAGUCACAAAUAGACAACAGAGGAAACUUAUAAUUUACUUUUCCUUAAUAUCUUAAUUAUAAAUGCAUUAUUAUAUUUCGUAGUAAUAUGUGUAGUUAAAAGUAACAUGAUUAAAAAAUAGCUAAGAUUUAUAUUAUAUAUUUAUUUAUACUACUAAUUUUUCAUGUUUAAUUAUAUGUAUACUUUAUAAUUAGAUCUUAUAUAAUUAAGAAAUAGUUUACAAGUAUAUUAUAUAAUAGGGAUAAUGUUCAUAAAAAUAUUAAAUUUUGCUAUUUUUUAUAAUUAUAUCUUUAAUAUUUUUUUAAUAAAAAUAUCAUAUACUUACAAUAUACCCUACGUUUAUACUUUUCUUAAAAAUUAAUGAAAAAAAUCAUUUAUAAUAAACUAUUAAAUUAAUAAAGAAAAAUGCUAAUAAGUGUAAUAUUUAAAACUAAAAACAUAUAUAGAGAUUAAAAAAAUAUUUUUUUUUAAUUAAACCUCUAGCACUUUAACUCAUGAUAGGUAAUUAAAAUAUAGAUGAACAUAAUAACUCUAUUUUAGAAUAAUUCAUGAUUCUCUCUAUUCUCGGUUCUCCUGACAUAAUUUUCUCUGCCACAGUACUCAUAUUUUUUUAGUAGCAUUGAAUGUUAGAUUUUUCUUGAGAAAAAUUAUUACCUCUUGCUCCUUGUCUGGCAGUAGUUUUGAAAUUUUUACCUUUUCUAUCUAUGAAAAGAUUAUGCUCUGUUCUACUUGUGAUGGACUCUUCAUUUCUUAAAUUUACUUGUCUUUUGCUCUAAUGUGCUUGGUGACCUCUCUUUCAUCCACAUCUCGAAACUCUAAUGAGCCUUGUAAAUCAUUAAGAGUCAAAACUUCAAGAUUUUUGAAUUUUUCAAUGGCAAUUACCACAUAAUCGAACUGGCUUGAUAAACUCUAUAGAAUUUUCUCUACCAUAUAUUUUUCUUCAAUUUUAUCACUAUUAUUUUUUUAUCUCAUUGACAAUAUUCUGCAUCGAAUAAAAAUAAUCACAAAUGCUUUCAUCUUUACUUUGCUUCAUUAGCUCGUACUGUCUUUUUAAACCCUGCACCUCAUUAUUUUAACUGGAUCUGCACCUUUAUAUAUUUUGAGCGAAAUAUUCUAAACCUCUUUUAUUUUCUGGUAUGAAAUAUUUUUUCAAGAACUAGUAACCUAAUGAACUGAAAAAUUAAAAAUAGGGUCUUCUCAUUUAGUGAAUGAUUACGAGCUAAUUAUUGUAUUUUUUUAACGGUUGGCUUUUUUUUUCCUCGAACUCUUUUUUGAAAAUUUCUCUAAAACCGUUGCUUUCAAACAUAGUUCCAUUAAAUGCUUUCACAUUGUAAAAUUAUUUUUCCAUUCAACUUAAAAAUUAUUGACUAUACUUGUUGAAUUUGUUGUACUACGGCGUUUAAAUUUGAAGCCAUUUACUGUGACCAAUUAUCAUAUCAGAUAUUGACAAUUAAAAUUAAAAUUGUCUAAAAAAUUAGGUGGAUUUAAUUUAUCCACAGAAACACUAAGAUAAUUUUAAUGAUUGAAAAUACACCCUCACAAAUAAAAAUAUAUUUUUUUUCACACAUUAUAAUUCGUAGGAGCUAUUUUUAAUUUAUUUUGUUGGAGCUAACAACACUAUCUUUUUUCCUCUCUCAAACUUCUUCUCACGGUUCACUUUUUUUGUAACGACUCGGAAAUCGGACCGCUAACGGCACUAGGAUUCAGAUCGAUUUAAGGUCGCCGGAACCCGUAGCAAGCCUACUAUACAUCCUGUGUAUCUGAUAAAAUCCCAUACAUGAUCAUAUAUCAACACAAAAAUUUAAACAUUUCAUGAAACCAAGCUUAACCUGUGUAUGUAUUAUAAACUAAAAACAUAAAACUCAUACUAGAACCCUCAUCAAAUGCUCCAGUAUGGUCAACAUACAUGCCUCAACUUGGUUCAAUAUAACAUAAACAUAAAACUUGUACAUAAAGAUCAUGAAAACCGGGAUUACAACAUUAUCAUUAGGGCGAAGCACAAUUCUAAUGCAAAACAACCUAAUACAUAAACAUGGCAUUCAUAAUGCAUGAACAUAUUUAAAAAAUUUGAUUACUUUAAAACAAUAGAUUAGUUUAGUUCUACUCACCUCUGGCUGAUGCUUGCCUAACAAUGACACAGCUAGUUCACUGAAGGCCUCUACGGUCUCUCUGGUCCGAUCCUACACAGGUGGACUCAAAUGAGGGACCAACACAACUAUUACAUGACUCUAAACAACUCCCCAAAAAUCCCCUAAAACAUAACAAAACAUGCAUAGGAAUCAAGCAAAGGAAGGCUGGGCAGAGGACUUUCGGCGGCAGGUUUGACGGCCGAAGGUCCCCACAGAUUCGAAAGUCAGACACUUUCGGGGGCAGGUUCGGUGGCCGAAGGUCUCCACAGAUCUGAAAGUCACCAACCUUUGGGGGCAGGUUAGGCGGCCAAAGGCUACCUCCACAGGCAAAUUCGGCGACCGAACCCUGCUUCGGCGGCCGAACCUGGGUUCUCCAGAAUGGCAGAACCCGAUUCUGCCUUAAGCACACAGCCACCAAACUCUCCAAAUCCUCACAUCCAACCCCUCAAAAUAUGCAUACACACUCAUCAAACAUAAGGGGUUUAAAAACUAGGCUAAACCCCAACAAACAACAACUAAAACAUCAUAAGAGCAAACAUUCAUAAACAACCCAACUCAAACCCUAUAACAUUAGAUCUAACCAAUUCAUACAUUUUUAAUCCUUAACCCUUAUUAGAACUUACUUAAAACAUAGAAAAGGCAAAGAUCUAUACUUACCUCUUGGAGAUCUAAGGUAGAUGCGACCAAAGCUUGGAGUUGAGGAGAAAUGGUCUCCAAACUUUACAAUCUUGGAUUCAAGCUUAAAACUUCAAAAACAAGAGAAAACUCAUGAAUAUUUUGAAGGAUUUGAAGGAAAAAUAACAAAAUCAACAAUGGAAGGGCAAGAACUCAAAUUUGCCCGAAAAUGGAGAGAGAAACUCUCCCAUUUUCGGACUGGAGGCCUCUUAUAGAUGGCUGGCCAGACCACCUUCGGGGGCCGAAAGGAGCUCCCGCAGCAGCACCAUGUUCGGCAGCCGAACAUAAGGUUCGGCGGCCAAACCUGGGCUUUCCUUCCAAAACAUUUUUCUUCCUUUUUAAAAAUUCUUUCGCACCAAACCAAUAGUAAAACCAUAAAAUUUAUUUUGUGAAAAACUUAAUUUUACUUUUCUAAGAGGUUCCAACAUCCGAGAUUCCAGAUUCUAAUGGGAAUUUAACGGAAGGUUGGAAUUCCGACGCCGGAGUCUAGCCGGGUAUUACAUUCUCCUCCCCUUAAGAACAUUCGUCCCUGAAUGUUCAACAAGCAAACAUAAACACCAAGAAAACACAUAAAACUGAAAACAAUUAUCUUAAAAGAGAUAGGGGUAUUGCUGGAGCAUGGACUCCCGAGUCUCCCAGGUGCACUCUUUCAUAUUGUGGUGAUUCCAAAGGACUUUCACCAUCGCGAUUUUCUUGUUCCUCAGCUUUCUGAUUUGUGUGUCUAUGAUCCGCACUGGCUGCUCAACAUAGGUGAGAUCUCCUAGGAUCUCUACAUCCGGUUCAUUAAGAACCUUGCCUGGAUCUGACAUGAACUUCCAUAACAUGGAAACAUGAAAAAUCAGAUGGAUUUUCUCCAUAGAAGCAGGUAAGUCUAACUUGUAAGAUACAUUCCCAAUCUUUUGCAAGAUUUCGAAGGGUCCAAUGUACCUUGGAGCUAGUUUAUCCUUUUUCCCAAAGCAAAUCACCCCUUUCAUAGGAGACACCUUGAGCAACAUCAUAUCUCCCUCCUGAAACACAACAUGUUUCUUGCGGACAUCUGCAUAGCUCUUCUGCCGACUCACAGCAGUCCUGAUUCUUUCUCUGAUAAUAGGCACUACCCUGCUGGUGAUCUCAACUAACUCUAGCCCUGCCAAGGCCCUUUCUCCCACUUCUUCCCAGCAGACAGGUGACCUGCACUUCCUCCCAUAUAGAGCUUCAUAAGGAGCCAUCCCGAUGCUAGCAUGGUAACUGUUGUUGUAAGCAAACUCCACCAAUGGUAGAUAUUGCCUCCAAGAACCGCCAAAAUCUAGCACACACAUUUUUAACAUGUCUUCUAUUGUUUGGAUGGUCCUCUCUGACUGUCCGUCAGUCUAUGGAUGAAAGUCAGUGCUAAAGUCUAACCUCGUGCCCAUAGCAUUCUGCAGACUCCGCCAAAACCUGGAGGUAAACUGAGGUCCCCUAUCUGACACUAUUGAUACUGGGUCCCCAUGCAGCCUGACAAUCUCUUCAACAUAUACCUGUGCCAAUUUGUCCACAGAGUAGCCACUCUUGACAGGGAUAAAGUGAGCAAAUUUGGUUAAUCUGUCCACUAUUACUCAUAUAGAGUCUAAUCUGUUCGACGUUGCUGGUAAUCCCACCACGAAAUCCAUUGCCACAUUUUCCCAUUUCCACUCUGGAAUCAGUAGUGGGUUGACCAUCCCAGCUGGCUUCUGAUGUUCCAGCUUCACCCUCUGACAUAUUUCACAAGCGGACACAAACUACGCCACUUCCCUCUUCAUAGCUGGCCACCAAUAAACUUUCUUCAGAUCCUGAUACAUUUUGGUGGCCCCAGGGUGAACACUGUACCUGGCAUUAUGAGCUUCUCUCAUGAUGUCUCCCUUCAAACUUACGUCAUAUGGUACACAUAAUCUAUUUUCGUAAUGGAGGAUCCCCUUGUUGUCGAACCUAAACUCAUCAUUCUUGCCUGCCUGAACAGUCCUCGUAAUUUUCACCAACUUAGGGUCCUCGUGCUGUUUCUGUGCUACUUGCUCUAGAAACACGGGUGUCACUCUCAUCUGAGCCACUAGUGCACCUGUACCAGACAACUCUAGCUGAAAACCUUUAUUAAUGAGCUUGUAAAGUUCCCUCACCACCGGUCUUCUCUCUGCUGUAAUAUGGGAUAAACUGCCAAGUGAAUUUCGGCUAAGAGCAUCUACUACUACAUUUGCCUUGCCCGGAUGAUACUGGAUCUUGCAAUCAUAAUCACUAAGCAGCUCUACCUAUCUUCUCUACCUCAGGUUCAACUCUUUUUGACUCAAGAUGUAUUGCAAGCUUUUAUGAUAUGUAAAGAUCUCACAUUUUACCCCAUACAGGUAAUGCCUCCACAUCUUGAGUGCAAAGAUCACAGCUGGCAUCUCUAGAUCGUGUGUGGGAUAAUUCAACUCGUGCUUCUUCAACUGUCUAGAAGCAUAAGCAAUCACCCUUUCCUUCUGCAUCAACACACAACCUAGUCCCACUCGAGACGCAUCACAAAAUACUAUGAAGUCUUCAUUACUGGUAGGCAGAGCUAACACCGGUGCUGACGUCAGUCUUUUCUUCAGCUCUUCGAAACUCUCUUCACACUGUUCUGACCAAACGAACCUCUGAUUCUUUUUGGUCAAUCUGGUCAUAGGAGCAGUAAUCUCUGAGAAAUCCUGGACAAACCUCCUGUAGUAACCUGCCAAACCCAAAAAGCUCUUAAUCUCUGUCACUAUAGUGGGUCUGGGCCAGUUAGCUACAACUUCUACUUUCUUGGGGUCCACCUCAAUUCCUUUUUCUGACACCACAUGCCCCAAGAAAGAGAUACUCCUCAACCAGAACUCACAUUUAGAAAAUUUGGCAUACAAGCCAUGUUCCCUUAGGGUUUGCAACACAAUUCUCAGAUAAUGGGCAUGGUCCUCUACAUUUCUGGAAUACACCAAGAUAUCGUCAAUGAAGAUAAUAACGAAGUGAUCCAGAAACUGACUAAAAACUCUAUUCAUGAGGUCCAUGAAUGCUGCAGGGGCAUUAGUUAGCCCAAACGGCAUCACUAGGAACUCAUAGUGUCCAUAUCUGGUCCUGAAAGCUAUCUUUGGCACAUCUUCUUCUCUGACCCUCAGCUAGUGGUACCCGGAUCUCAAAUCUAUCUUGGAGAAACAACCGGCUCCUGCUAGCUGGUCAAUAGAUCAUCAAUCCUGGGUAGUGGAUACCUGUUCUUGGUAGUGACCUUAUUCAACUGUCUGUGGUCGAUACAAAGCCUUAGGGAUCCAUCCUUCUUUUUCACAAACAAAACCGGGGCACCCCAAGGUGAGGUACUAGGUCGGAUGAAACCUUUAUCUACCAACUCCUGCAACUGCUCCUUUAACUCUUACAAUUCUGCAUGCGCCAUCCUGUAGGGAGGAAUAGAGAUAGGUCUGGUUUCGGGCAUUACUUUAAUUUCAAACUCUAUCUCCCUAGCAGGUGGUAAAGCUGGUAGCUCAUCUGGGAAAACAUCUAGAAACUCUCUAACUACGGGCACUAAAAUUGAUUCCCUAAACUGACUGUUAAGCUCUCUGACAUGAGCAAGAAACCAUUAAAAACCCCUCCUAAGCAACCUAUGAGCCUGCAGGGUAAAUAUCAAACCUCUAGGCAUCCCUACUCUGUCUCCUCUGAAGAUGACCUCUGACCCAUCUUGUUCUCUGAACCUGACUACCUUGUCUCUGCAGUCCAAGGUAGCACCAUGAGUAGAGAGCCAAUCCAUCCCUAGAAUGAGAUCAAAAUCGAUCAAAUCUAGAACCACAAGGUCAGCUGGAAGGCACCUACCCUCUACAAAAAUUGAACUGAACCGGUAGACUGAUUCUGCCACAGAUGGAUCACACUUGGGCCCACUGACCCAAAGAGGACACUCUAACCCAUAAGCUAUCAAACCCAAACUCUCUAUGGCUCUCAGAGAAAUAAAAGAAUGAGAGGCACCAGGGUCCAUAAGAGCAUACACAUUAGAACACCCAAUAGUGAGUUUACCUGACACCACCGUGUUCGAUGUGUUAGCCUCCUGUUGUGUCAAGGUGAAGAUCUGUGCUGGAGCUGAAGGACCUUUCCCGUGGGAACCUACUGAAGAAGAGGUUGUCCUUCUCCCUCGACCUCACCCUCUGCCAUGAAAUGUGGCUAAAGUUGCUGGCUGAGCUAUACUGCCAAAAGCUGUCUGCUGGGACUAUGCCACUAUAGCUGCAUUGGGACACUCACAUGCCUUGUGCCCCUCCUGUCCACAUCUGAAACAUGCUGUAGUCCCCAACCGAUAGACUCCUUUGUGUGGCUUAUCGCACCUCAUACAUCCAGAACUAUCCUGUAACGACCCGAAAAUCGGACCGCUACCGACGCUAGGAUCCAGGUCAACUUAAGGUCGCCGGAACCCGUAGCAAGCCUGCUAUACUCUCUCUAUACCUGUAAAAUCCCAUACAUGAUCAUACAUUUUCUGUAAAAACAUAAAACUUUGCUCUGAACCAAGACUCAACCUGUGCAUGCACUAUCUCUGUACUACAGAACCCCUUACUAGAGCGUGCUCUAGACGGGUUAAAAACUGUUACUAUGUUAAACCUGGUUCUCAUACUCAUAAAAACACAAGUACAUAAACAAACCAUGUAUAUAAAAAGGGAUUUACAAUACCAAUGGGUCAAGCACACUACUACACUCUCUACAUCUCUUUACAAUAUUACAUGUCCAUACUAUGCUAUUACACAACUCGUUACUCUUCAUAAAUCCUGCUGACAUCCCUCUGUACUCUGAUCCUGCAAGACUGGGGUUAAGGGAGAGGGGUGAGCUAUACUAGCCCAGUAAGUAGAACAAAAUAAUCAUGCUCACAUGAAAUGCAUCACAUCACAAGUAAUCAUAUAUCGGACGGACGGAAACAAAACUCCCUCAAACUGUGCCCGGCCCGCGAAGGAGCUCCUCAGGUCUUGAUAUGCCCGGCCCUCUAUGGGGAUCCUCAGGACUUGAUGUGCCCGGCCCUCGAUGAGGCUCCUUAGGACUUGAUGGGAGGGCUAAUGAAUCCAAACUAUGUCCGUCCGCAAGUUCAAUAAAUAAUGCCAUGCACAUAUUCGUGAAUUCUAAUGCAAUCAUCCUAUUGCAUAAUCAUGAUGCAUGAAAUAUGCUUAAAGAAUUUAAUUUCUCAAUUAAAAAGAUUAAAUUUAGUUCCACUCACCUCUGGCUAACUCUGAACUGACUCUGAAAACUCUGAAGCAGUGCUUAUUGCUGAUCUCUUCGGUUCCUCUGGUCCGUUCCUACACAGGUGGACUCAAAUGAGGGACCAAACUAACUCAAAAACAACUCUAUAAAACUCCCCAAAGCCCCCCUAAAACAUCCUAAAACAAUCAAGGAAAACAAGCAAAAGAAGGCUGGACAGGGCACUUUCGGCGGCAGGUUCGACGGCCGAAAGUCCCUCCAGAUCCGAAAGUCAGGCACUUUCGGCGGCACCUUUGGCUGCCGAAAGUCCUUUCCAGAGACGAAAGUCCCUAACCUUCGGCGGCAUAUUCGGCGGCUGAAACCCCCCUCCAGAGCUGAAAGUCCAAACUUUCGGGGGCGAGCUUAGGCAGCCGAAACCACCUCCUUAGCAUGUUUGGCGGCCGAACCUUCCUUUGGCGGCCGAAACUGGAUUCUCCAGUUAGGCAGAACCCUGCUCUGCUUCAUGCAAACUUCCUCCCAACUUUCUCAAACAUGCAACCAACAACUCAACAACAAACAUAUUGUAACAACCUGAAAAACGGACCGCCACCGGCACUAGGAUCCGGGUCGACUUAAGGUCACCGGGACCCAUAGUAAGCCUGCUAUACUCUCUGAGUACCUGUAAAAUCCCAUACAUGGUCAUAUAUUUUCUGUAAAAACAUAAAAACUGUACUCUGUACCAAGGCUCAACCUGUGCAUGCACUAUCUCUGUAACCCUUUACUAGAGCUCUCAUCCAUGCUCUAGACGGGUUAAAUUCAUACUGUGUUAAGCCUGGUUUUUCACACUCAUCAAAACAUGUACAUAACAAUAAAUAGACCAAGUGUACAAAAGGGAUUUACAAUACAAAUGGGUCAAGCACACUACUCAACUCUAUACAAUACUCAUACAUCGCUUUACAAAUAAAACAUGUACAUAACAAUAAAUAGACCAAGUCCAAACUUUCGGGGGCAAGCUUAGGUAAGCUUAGGCAGCCGAAACCACCUCCUUAGCAUGUUCGGCGGCCGAACCUUCCUUCGGCGGCCGAAACUGGGUUCUCCAGUAAGGCAGAACCUUGCUCUGCCUCAUGCUAAACCUCUCCAAAUCUUACCCAAACAUACAAACCACAAUUCCUCAACAUACAUACACUCAAGUAUAUGCACAAAGGGGUCCAAAACUACCUUAAAACCCCAACAAACAACACAACACAACACAUAUAUAUGCUUUCAUCAAGAACUCACCAAAAAUCCUAUUUAACCUAAUCAUGCAUCUCUACCCAUCAAAACCUUCAUCAAUCAUGGAAAGAAGUUCAGGAUCUUCACUUACCUCUUGAAAACAAGAAGAAGAACGAUCCUAACGUGGAGAUAUGGAGCAACUCUCUUCCAAAGUCUCCAAACUUCAACACUUGGAUUUUUAGCUCAAAAGCUUCAAAAUAACAUCAAAACCUAUCAAAACUUUGCAAGAUUUGAUGAAAACAUGAAGAUUACCCAAGGAAGACAUGGGCUCACCUCUGUUGGUGAAAUGAAAAGCAAUUCUUAUCCAUUCACCGACUGAGGGCCUUUUAUAGGUGGCUGGCCAGACCACCUUCGGCGGCCUAAUCGUGAUUCCAAACUCAUGCAUGUUCGGCGGCCGAACCUCACUUUCGGCGGCCAAACCUGACAUUUCUUCCUUGGUUCUUUUCUUUCAAAAAAUCAUUUCUUUUUCACUUUAAAACUAUAAAACACACUAAAAUACUUUAGAAAAACAUACUUCUUACCCUUCUAGCGGAUUCCAACAUCCUAGAUUCCACCGGAAAGUAGAAUUCCGAUGCCGGACUCUAGCCGGGUAUUACACAUAUACUCAAGUAUAUGCACAAAGGGAUCCAAAACUACCUUAAAACCCCAACAAACAUCACAACUCAACACAUAAACAUGCUUUCACCAAUAAACAACUAAAAACUCUACUUAACCUAAACAUGCAUCUCUACCCAUAAAACUCCAUAAAACCUUCAUAAAACAUGAAAAGAAGUUAAGGAUCUACACUUACCUCUUGAAGAUCUAGAGGAUAGGUGAUCCUAAUGUGGAGAUAUGGAGCAACUCUCUCUCAAAGUCUCCAAACUUCAAAACUUUGGUUUUUAGCUCGAAAGCUUCAAAACAACAUGAAAACUUAUCAAAACUUUGAAAGAUUUGGAGAAAACAUGAAGAUCACCCAAGAAAGAUCAUGGUCUCACCUCUGUCCGUGGAAAUGGAAAGAAAAUCUUAUCCAUUCACAGACCUCUGGCCUUUUAUAGGUGGCUGGCCAGACCACCUUCGGCGGCCAAACGUGAUUCCUAAAGUCAUGCAUGUUCGGCGGCCGAACUUCACCUUCGACGGCCGAACCUGGCAUUUCUUCCUUGGUUCUUUUCUUUCAAAAUUCAUUUUCUUUACACGUAAAACAUGAAAACAUACUAAAACACUUUGGAAAACAUAAGGCUUAUGUAACAGCCUGAAAACCGAACUGCUACCGGCGCUAGGAUCCAGAUCGGCUUAAGGCCGCCGGGACCCGUAGCAAGCCUGCUGUGAACUCUGUGUACCUGUGAAAUCCCAUACAUGAUCAAACAUUUUCAGUAAACAUUAAAACUUUUCUCUGUUCCGAGGCUUAACCUGUGCAUACGCUAACCCUGUCCUGUACAACCCCUGCUAGAGCUCUCAUCUUUGCUCUAGGCGGGUCAACUCAUAAAAUAUUAAGCCUGGUUUUUCAUAUACAAUAAAAUCAUUUGCAUAAUCGACCAUGUAUAAAUAUAAAAGGGAUUACAACUCAUAUGGUCAAGCAUUAUCUCAACAACAUAAACUAUCUUUUACAGUUACAUGUCCACACUAGCUAUUACAUAACUCUUCUCUUUAUCUGUACCCUGCUGACUUCUCUGGACUCUGAACUUGCAAGACUGGGGGUUAAGGGAGAGGGUGAGCUAUACUAGCCCAGUGAGUAGUACAUAUAAAACAUGUUAUAAAACAUGAUCUCAUGGAAUGCAUCACAACACAAAUAAAUCACAUCAUCUCAGACGGACUAAUUCAAAAUUCCCCCACAUUGCCCGGCCCGCGAAGGAGCUCCUCAGGUCUUCAUUCAGCACCCUAUGGUACCGUGUGCCCGGCCCUUUCAGCGCUCCUCAGGUCUUCAUUCAGGGGGCUAAUGAAUCCAAGCUACGCCCGAUCUGUACAUGCACUGAUUAAUGCAACAUCUUCGUGCUCACUAAUGCAAUACUCUACACAUGGCAUAAAUGAUGCAUGAAACAUGCUAAAAAUGUUUGAGUUCUCAUAGUCAAAGCUUUAGUUCAGUUCCACUCACCUUUGGUUGACUCUGUACUGACUCUGCAGGUUCUGAAGCAGUGCUCACUGCUGACCUCCUUGGUUCCUCUGGUCCGUUCCUACACAGGUGGACUGAAAUGAGGGACCAAACUCACUCAAGAACAUCUCUAAGAAACUCCCCAAAAACCCUCUAAAGCCUCCUAGAACAAGCACAUAAAACAUGCAAAAUAAAGCUGGAUAGGGCACUUUCGGCGGUAGGUUCGGCGGCCGAAACUCUCCUCCAGAGACGAAACUCAUGCAUGUUCGGCGGCACCUUCGGCAGCCGAAAGUCUCGUCUAGAGAUGAAACUCAACCUUCGGCGGCACUUUCGGCGGCCGAACCUUGCCUCCAGAGACGAAAGUCCAAAUGUUCGGGGGCAAGCUUUGGCAGCCGAAACUGCCUCCACAAGGGGUUUGGCGGCCGAACCUUCCUUCGGCGGCCGAACCUGGUUUUGCCCGUUGGGCAGAAACCUGCUCUGUUUCAUGCAAAUUGCACCCAAAACCUAUCCAACAUGCAUAGCAACUACUCCCAACUAGCAUAUACCAUAGAACAUGCAUAAAGAGGUCUAAACCUUGCCUAACACCUCCAAAAUACACAUAGCAAACAACAUUUAACAUGCUUUAACACAAAAAUCACCAAAACCUCAUCUAAACCUACUCAUGCAUACUACCCAUACAACUCCCAUAAAACCUUCAAAAUCAAGAAAGGAAGUUCAGGAUCUUCACUUACCUCUUCUAAACAAGAGAUUGAACGAUCCCUACGUGGAGAUAUGGAGAAAUCCUCUCAACUUCUCCAAGCUUCCAAACCUUUGUUCUUUUGCUUAAAAACUUCAAAACCACAUGAAAAUCCAUCAAAACCAUGAAAACUUUGAGAAAACACAUAAAUCACUCAAGGAAGAUCAAGUCUCACCUCAGCUCGUGCAAAUGGAAAGCAAAUCUUAUCCAUUUGACCGACCUAGGGCCUUUUAUAAUUGGCUGGCCAGACCAACUACGGCGGCUGAAUGAGAACCCGAAUGCCAUGUACGUUCGGCGGCCGAAAGUCACCUUCGGCGGCCGAACCUUGGCUUUUCUGCCUUGGUGCUUUUCUUGCAAAACCUCAUUUCUUUUACAACUUAAAACAUGCAAACGCGUAUAAAACCAUAUAAAACAUAGCCCUUACCCUUCUAGAGACUUCCGACAUCAGAAAGUCCACCGUCCUACAGGACUUCCGACGCCGGACUCUAGCCGGGUAUUACAUUCUCCCCCCCUUAAGAACAUUCGUCAUCGAAUGUUCCUCAAACACAUAAACACAUAACAUAUAGAAAAGGGGACAACUCACCUCAAAACAGAUAUGGGUAUUGCUGGAGCAUAGACUCCCGUGUCUCCCAGGUGCACUCUUCUAUGUUAUGGUGGUUCCACAGGACUUUUACCAUCGGAAUUUCUUUGUUUCUCAACUUUCUGAUCUGGGUGUCAAUGAUCCUCACUGGCUGUUCGACAUAUGUGAGAUCUCCUAGGAUCUCCACAUCAGGCUCACUGAGAACCUGACCUGGAUCUGACACAAAUUUUCGUAGCAUAGAAACAUGAAACACCGGAUGGAUUCUUUCCAUAGAUGCAGGUAAAUCCAGCUUGUACGACACAUUCCCGAUCCUCUGCAGAAUCUCAAAGGGACCAAUGUAUCGUGGAGCUAGCUUACCCUUUCUUCCAAAGCGAACCACGCCCUUUAUUGGAGACACCUUCAGCAAAACCAUAUCCCCCUCCUGGAACUCUAUCUGUUUCCUAUGGACAUCUGCAUAGCUUUUCUAUCUGCUGACAGCUGUUCUGAUCCUCUCUCUGAUGAUAGGCACGAAUCUGCUGGUAAUCUCGACUAACUCUGGCCCUAUAAGAGCCUUUUCUCCGACCUCUUCCCAGCAAACAGGUGUUCUGCACUUCCUCCCAUACAGAGCUUCAUAAGGAGCCAUCCCUAUGCUAGCAUGAUGGCUGUUAUUAUAGGCAAACUCCACCAGAGGUAGAUGCUGCCUCCAAGAACCGCCAAAGUCUAACACACACAUUCUGAGCAUAUCCUCUAUGGUCUGGAUGGUCCUCUCUGACUGACCGUCUGUCUGUGGAUGGAAAGCCAUGCUAAAAUCCAACCUCGUGCCCAUAGCAGCUUGCAGACUCCGCCAAAAUCUGGAGGUGAACUGAGGUCCUCUAUCUGAUACAAUUGACACAGGAACUCCAUGUAGCCUUACUAUCUCUUCGACAUACACCUGCGCUAGCUUGUCCACAGAAUAGUUACUCCUGACUGGAAUGAAGUGAGCAGAUUUAGUCAGUCUAUCCACAAUCACCCAUAUGGAGUCUAUCCUGUUGGACGUCGCCGGUAACCCCACUACAAAAUCCAUUGCUACAUUCUCCCACUUCCAUUCUGGAAUCGGCAGUGGGUUAAGCAGUCCAGCCGGCUUCUGGUGCUCUAGCUUCACCCUUUGACAUGUUUCGCAGGCUGACACGUACUGUGCCACUUCUCUCUUCAUCGCUGGCCACCAAUACACUCUUCUCAGAUCUUGAUACAUCUUGGUGGCUCCAGGGUGAACGCUAUACCUUGCAUUAUGAGCUUCCCUCAUAAUGUCCUCCUUUAAACUGCUGUCAUCUGGCACACAUAACCUCUUCCCGUGAUGAAGAAUCCCCUCACUGUCAAAUCUGAACUCCACACUGUUGCCUGACUGAACAGUCCUGGCAAUUUUCACUAACUCAGGGUCCUCGUGCUGUUUCAAAGCCACUUGCUCAAGAAACACGGGAGUAACUCUCAUCUGUGCAAUUACAGCACCAGUACCAGAUAACUCUAACUGCAACCCUUCUUCCAUGAGCUUGUAGAAAUCCUUCACCACCGGCCUCCUCUCUGCUGUAAUGUGGGAUAAACUGCCGAGUGACUUUCGGCUUAAGGCAUCGGCUACAACAUUAGCCUUACCCGGGUGAUACUGGAUCUUGCAAUCAUAAUCACUGAGCAAUUCGACCCACCGUCUCUGCCUCAAAUUUAGCUCUCUCUGGCUCAAGAUGUGCUGCAUGCUCUUAUGAUCCGUGAAGAUCUCACACUUUACCCCAUAGAGGUAAUGCCUCCACAUCUUGAGUGCAAAGAUAACUGCUGCCAUCUCCAGAUCGUGUGUAGGAUAGUUCAGCUCGUGCUUCUUCAGCUGUCUAGAAGCAUAAGCUAUCACUCUGUCAUUUUGCAUCAACACACAACCCAAUCCCACGCGGGAAGCAUCAAAGAACACUGUGAAGUCUUCAUCACUGAUCGGCAGAGCUAACACCGGUGCUGAAGUCAACCGUCUCUUCAGCUCUUCAAAACUCUCUUCACACUCUUCUGACCAUACGAACUUCUGGUUCUUUCUGGUCAAUCUAGUCAUCGGACCAGUAAUCUUCGAGAAGUUCUGAACGAACCUCCGAUAGUAGCCUGCCAAACCCAGGAAACUCUUGAUCUCUGUUACUGUCAUGGGUGUAGGCCAGUUGGCUACUGCCUCUACCUUCUUGGGGUCCACUGCUAUACCUUCAUCUGAAACUACAUGCCCCAAGAAAGAAAUGCUCCUCAGCCAGAACUCACACUUAGAGAACUUGGCAUACAAGCCAUGCUCUUUCAAAGUCUGCAAGACUAUCCUCAGAUGCUGGGCAUGCUCCUCUGCAUCCCUGGAAUACACUAAGAUAUCAUCGAUAAAGACAAUCACAAAGUGAUCGAGGUACUCUCUGAAAACUCUGUUCAUGAGAUCCAUGAAUGCUGCAGGGGCGUUAUUCAACCCGAACGGCAUUACUAGGAACUCAUAAUGCCCAUAUCUGGUCCUGAAAGCUGUCUUGGGUACAUCCUCUUCCCUGAUUCUCAACUGAUGGUAUCCGAAUCUUAGAUCUAUCUUAGAGAAACAUUCUGCUCCUGACAGCUGGUCGAAUAGAUCAUCGAUCCUGGGUAGAGGAUACUUAUUCUUGGUAGUGACCUUGUUCAACUGCCUGUAGUCGAUACAAAGUCUCAGAGGUCCAUCCUUCUUCCUGACAAACAGUACUGGAGCACCCCAAGGUGAGGUACUCGGGCGGAUGAAACCCUUUUCUACCAAGUCCUGCAACUGCUCUUUUAAUUCUCUCAGCUCUACUGGUGCCAUCCUUUAGGGAGGAAUAGAGAUCGGUCUCGUACCAGGCAUUACCUCUAUCUCGAACUCUAUUUCCCUGUCAGGUGGUAGUCUUGGAAGCUCUUCAGGAAACACAUCUGGGAACUCUCUAACAACUGGUAUUGAGGAUGGUUCCCUAACCUGCAUAUCUAGCUCUCUCACAUGAGCUAGGAACCCCUGACAACCCCUCCUCAACAACCGACGAGCCUGAAGGGCUGAUAUCAAACCUCUCGGUGUCCCUCUCCUGUCUCCUCUGAAGACACACUCUGACCCAUCCUGGUCUCUGAAACUGACUACCUUGUCCCUGCAGUUCAAGGUAGCAUUAUACGUAGAUAACCAAUCCAUCCCUAGAAUGACAUCAAAAUCUGCCAACUCUAGAACCACAAGGUCAGCUGGAAGGUAUCUACCCUCUAUACGCACUGGACUGACUUGACAGACUGACUCUGCCAAUGAUGGGUCACAUCUAGGUCCACUGACCCAGAGAGGACACUCUAACUCGGAGACUAUCAAACCCAACCUCUCUACGGCUCUAGAAGCAAUGAAAGAGUGAGAAGCACCGGGGUCCAUCAAAGCAUACACCUCGGAACACCCAAUGAUGAGAUUACCUGACACCACUGUGUUCGAUGUAUCUGCCUCCUGUUGCGUCAUGGUGAAAAUCCGUGCUGGGGCUGACGGACCUGCACCUCGAGAACCCAUCCCUGAUGAAGAGGCUGACCCUCUUCCUCUACCUCUGCCACUGCUCUGAGGUACGGCUGAAGCUGCUGGCUGUGCUACACUGCCUGAGGUCAUCUGCUGGGAUGGUGCCAUAAAGGUCGCCUGGGGACAUGCUCGUGCAAUAUGUCCCUCUUGCCCAUAUCUAAAGCAGGCUGUAGAUCCCAUCAGACAAACUCCUCUGUGUGGUUUCCCACAUUUCUGACAUACUGGACUGCCUGAGCCAAAGCUGGAGCCGUUUCCCAUUCCCAGUCCUGACUUCAUCCUGCUCCAGAACUUGCCUCUCUUGGACUUAAACUUCUCUCCUUUUCUACUGCCAGAAACUGCUGCACUGAGGGUCUUAGAACCCGAAGACUGUGCCACCUGCUGCUUUCCUGUUCCCUGUAGACUGGCACUCGCCUCCAUUUUUUUGGCUGCAUCCACAAUGGAGUGGAAACUCUCUUUCUCUGCUGGAAGAAUCAAGGAGAAAUACCUGGGGUGAAGCCUUGUGGCAUAUCUCCUUGCCUUCUUCUGAUCCGUAUCAUACGCUUGACCUACGUAUGGUAACAAUUCCAGGAACUUAUCUAUAUACUCAUCAACGCUCAUCUCCUCUGACUGUCUCAGCUGUUCAAACUCAACAACCUUCAUCUCCCUGGAACUGUCAGGAAAAGCCCACCCUGCGAACGCAUUGGCGAACUCUUCCCAUGUCAUGCUGUCUAUUCUGGGGUCCAUAUAGUUCUUGAACCAUUCUUUGGCUUUCUUGCACUUUAAUGUGAACCCUGCCAUCUCAAUGGCCCUGCUCUCAUCAGCUCCCAACUCACUGGUUAUCAUUCUGACUGCACUCAGGUACUCAAAGGGAUCAUCUCCUAUAUUGAAUUUAGGAGCAUCCAACUUUAAGUACUCGGUCAUCUUCACCUUAUGUCCCCAUGAAGAACUAGGUUGUUGUGCUUCAACAACAGGGGCUACAGGUUCUGGUGGUGGUGGAGGUACUGUUUCUCUUGGUUCAGGUUGUGCUGAACUUGUAUGAGAAGGUGGGGGUGGAUACAUAUGAUAUGGUGGGUAAAAAGAAGGAUAAGGCAUAUAGGGCAUAUAAGGUGGAUAUGGGGCAAAGCUGGAGAAAUCCGACAUACCUCCCAUCGGAUACCCCGGGCCCUGUGGAAAGGAUGGAUAGCUAAACCCCGAGGCCUGAACGCCUCCUUGGGACUCUCCCAGACCUUCCUCCGUCCUUCCUAUACCCAUACUUUCAUCUCCUCUGCUCUGACCAACAUCCAUAGCAUCUCUUUCUUCCUCUGAUCUUCCCCCUCUAUCUACUCCUCUUCUGCUCUUGUCAGAAGACCUUCUAGGGUCUCGUGACGUUCCUUCCCUGCUUGACCUGUGAGAUCUUGCCCUUGGCAAUGCAGGAGGACGAGCAGCUGUACCCUCACUUUCUGGUGGGACUCUAGUCAAUCUCGCGGAUCGACGAGUUCCUCGCAUCUUCACUCUCUGGAACACCACACAUAACAUAGCACAUUAGCAACAUAUAUGGCACAUGCAUGAAUCAUAGCAAUGCACACAACAGAUAGACAGGACGGACAUCCUAUCCUAUGGACAUGCUUUCCUAUGAUGCUUGACCAUCUAUGACUUCUAUAAGCCCGACUUUCUCUAUAGGUCCGACCAUAUGAACCUAGGGCUCUGAUACCAAUCUGUAACAGCCCGGAAACCGAACUGCUACCGGCGCUAGGAUCCAGAUCGACUUAAGGCCGCCGGGACCCGUAGCAAGCCUACUAUGAACUCUGUGUGCCUGUGNNNNNNNNNNNNNNNNNNNNNNNNNNNNNNNNNNNNNNNNNNNNNNNNNNNNNNNNNNNNNNNNNNNNNNNNNNNNNNNNNNNNNNNNNNNNNNNNNNNNNNNNNNNNNNNNNNNNNNNNNNNNNNNNNNNNNNNNNNNNNNNNNNNNNNNNNNNNNNNNNNNNNNNNNNNNNNNNNNNNNNNNNNNNNNNNNNNNNNNNNNNNNNNNNNNNNNNNNNNNNNNNNNNNNNNNNNNNNNNNNNNNNNNNNNNNNNNNNNNNNNNNNNNNNNNNNNNNNNNNNNNNNNNNNNNNNNNNNNNNNNNNNNNNNNNNNNNNNNNNNNNNNNNNNNNNNNNNNNNNNNNNNNNNNNNNNNNNNNNNNNNNNNNNNNNNNNNNNNNNNNNNNNNNNNNNNNNNNNNNNNNNNNNNNNNNNNNNNNNNNNNNNNNNNNNNNNNNNNNNNNNNNNNNNNNNNNNNNNNNNNNNNNNNNNNNNNNNNNNNNNNNNNNNNNNNNNNNNNNNNNNNNNNNNNNNNNNNNNNNNNNNNNNNNNNNNNNNNNNNNNNNNNNNNNNNNNNNNNNNNNNNNNNNNNNNNNNNNNNNNNNNNNNNNNNNNNNNNNNNNNNNNNNNNNNNNNNNNNNNNNNNNNNNNNNNNNNNNNNNNNNNNNNNNNNNNNNNNNNNNNNNNNNNNNNNNNNNNNNNNNNNNNNNNNNNNNNNNNNNNNNNNNNNNNNNNNNNNNNNNNNNNNNNNNNNNNNNNNNNNNNNNNNNNNNNNNNNNNNNNNNNNNNNNNNNNNNAAAUCACCAAAAACCUCAUCUAAACCUACUCAUGCAUACUACCCAUACAACUCCCAUAAAACCUUCAAAAUCAAGAAAGGAAGUUCAAGAUCUUCACUUACCUCUUCCAAACAAGAGAUUGAACGAUCCCUACGUGGAGAUAUGGGGAAAUCCUCUCUCAACUUCUCCAAGCUUCCAAACCUUUGCUCGUUUGCUUAAAAACUUCAAAACCACAUGAAAAUCCAUCAAAACCAUGAAAGCUUUGAGAAAACACAUAAAUCACUCAAGGAAGAUCAAGUCUCACCUCAGCUCGUGCAAAUGGAAAGCAAAUCUUAUCCAUUUGACCGACCUAGGGCCUUUUAUAGUUGGCUGGCCAGACCAACUACGGCGGCCGAAUGAGAACCCGAAUGCCAUGCACGUUCGGCGGCCGAAAGUCACCUUCGGCGGCCGAACCUUGGCUUUUCUGCCUUGGUGCUUUUCUUGCAAAACCUCAUUUCUUUUACAACUUAAAACAUGCAAACGCGUAUAAAACCAUAUAAAACAUAGCCCUUACCCUUCUAGAGACUUCCGACAUCAGAAAGUCCACCGUCCUACAGGACUUCCGACGUCGGACUCUAGCCGGGUAUUACAGCUUACCCUUCUAGAAGAUUCCGACAUCCCGGAUUCCACCGGACAGUAGAAUUCCGAUGCCAGACUCUAGCUGGGUAUUACAUUAUCCGAACUAGAGCUUAAACCACCACCCAUUCCCAAACCAGACUUCAAUAUGUUCUAGAACUUGUUCUUCUUGGACUUGGAUUUGUCCCACUUUUUACCUCUUGUGGCGGCAGAAUUCAAAGAGGAGAUAUCAAUUUUCCUUGUACCCGGAAUUUUGGAACCCGAGGACUAUGCCACCUGCUGCUUCACUGUCCCCUGUAUAAUGGCACUAGCCUCCAUCUUCCGUGCUGCAUCCACAAUAGUGUGGAAACUCUCCCUCUCUGUAGCUAAGAUCAGAGAGGAAUACCUAGAGCAGAGUCUCAUGAUAUACCUCCUGGCUUUCUUCUGGUCAGUGUCGUAUGCCUGCCCCACAAACUGCAGCAACUCUAGAAAUUUAUCUGUGUACUCAUCUACACUCAUAUCCUCAGUCUGCCUCAACUGCUCAAACUCU
rnacentral:lncRNA from 1 species